GGCAUGAUGGCCAAGUGGGAAGGUGUCGGUCUUGUAAACUGAAGAUCAUGGCUUCACGCCCCGUUCGUGCCU